CAGUUCUUCCAGGAUACUCUGGAGUCCCCCUAUGGUCAGUGCUGCCUUGGUAGAAGACACGGCGAUAACCUUUGAUGAAACCAACAAGGCGAUCAUCGUAGUUAAAGCCUGCUUUCCAUAUUAGAGAACCGUACCCAAAUACCCACAUCUCCCUCCAGAGGAUGAAGCUAUUAGGAAGAAGAGCAGAGACAGGGAGUAGCACGGCACCCCAAUGACCAAGAACUACACAGAGUGGCAGUUCGUAC
rnacentral:misc_RNA from 1 species